CUCUCCCGCCGGGAAUUAAACCCGGGUCUCAAGCGUUGAAGUCUUCAAAAGAUGACAAGCUCACAUACUGACCACUAUACUACGGAAGA